rnacentral:lncRNA from 1 species
GCAACAGUUGACAGUUUGGCAGUUGAGGAAAUGGCUUUGAGGCAGUUUAGCUAGUUCAACUACUGCUAAUUUAAAAAACAAUUACAGCUUGCUAUGACAGUUUCCUUACCACCGCAAUCAGAAGGCCACCACACCACAUUAGAGCUGUUAAGACAGAGCCUAUAAACAACAGUGAGACUGACUACCACAGAAGGCAGCACUGGAUAGCCAUGCAGGCGAAGCUGAGGAAGUAAAGUGAAGAACAUGAAGAGAAAGAAGAAGAAGAAGAAGAACCAGCACCACCUGUGGGAUUAAAUGGUCUUAAUGUCCUUGUAAUAUCUAUGACAGACAGAGGCACAGGGAUGGGGAAAGUGAUGCAGUGCUGGAGCCUGAGCUGUCUAGGGUUGAAACGACUGUAGCAAACACCCAGUAAACAUCCAUCAGACAGUAGAGAGAGGGGGAGGAGAGAGAGAGAGAGAGAGAGAGAGAGAGAGAGAGAGAGAGAGAGGGGAAGCUCCUCAUCACUGACCUCUCUAGACCCACAAAUCUUCUCGCUUAAUUGGAGAUCGUCCCGUAUCGAUUUUCAUCAGUCUCUUUAUUUGCCGUAGCAGCCACACAUAACCAGGGGACAUUUAGUGUGCUUCUCACUGCUAAAAUGUCCCAUCUCUGAAAUGCUAUUAAAUUGAAUCAUUGCAGAAAAUUGUUUAAGUAAACAUAGUAAACAUAUCACAGUUUUGGGGUGUCUUUUUUAAAGUCUUUAAAAAAAAAAUUGCAUUCCACUUCAGUCUUUUUUGUGUAUUAUUAGCUAGUCAGAGUGCAAUACUUUUAUUUUUAUGGGUAAAUGUAACAGUAAAUAUUCAGUUUCAUGAAGUCUAAUAGAUUUUUUUUAAACAUGUUUUUCACCAUCUAUAGCCAAUAUAAGUUCAUUAUUGCAUUUACA